AGAGUUUGAUCCUGGCUCAGAAUCAACGCUGGCGGCGUGCCUAACACAUGCAAGUCGAGCGAGAAAGGGAGCUUCGGUUCCCAAGUAAAGCGGCGGACGGGUGAGUAACACGUGGGUAAUCUGCCCUCGGGUGGGGAAUAACUCAGGGAAACCUGGACUAAUUCCGCAUGAUAUUCCCGAUACUCAAGUAUUGGAAAUCAAAGCUGGGGACCCUUCGGGGCCUGGCGCCUGAGGAGGAGCCCGCGGCCAAUUAGCUUGUUGGUGGGGUAAUGGCCCACCAAGGCUUCGAUUGGUAGCCGGCCUGAGAGGGCGGACGGUCACACUGGGACUGAGACACGGCCCAGACUCCUACGGGAGGCAGCAGUGGGGAAUUUUUGUCAAUGGGGGAAACCCUGAACAAGCAACGCCGCGUGGAGGGCGAAGACCCUCGGGUUGUAAACUCCUGUCGGAGGGGACGAAAGUGCAGGUGGUUAAUACCCAUCAGUAUUGACGGUACCCUACGAGGAAGCCCCGGCUAACUCCGUGCCAGCAGCCGCGGUAAUACGGGGGGGGCAAGCGUUGUUCGGAAUUACUGGGCGUAAAGGGCGCGUAGGCGGACCAGACAGUCUCUCGUGAAAUCCCACGGCUCAACCGUGGAACUGCGGGAGAUACUACUGGUCUUGAGUUCGGGAGAGGAGUGUGGAAUUCCCAGUGUAGCGG
rnacentral:rRNA from 1 species